UGUCAAUAAACAUGACUAAAAUUCAAAUACUGGGACCAUCUAAACUGCAAACUAAAAUGUAAUUAUUAUCAACAAAUGUGAGGAUUCUAAAAAAAAAUAAGUAAAAAUUGCUCGAAGCCUGAAUUAUGGUUGUUAUGGUUUAGAUAAGAUAUGAAAUGCUUAAAUUUAUUGGAAUGGGGGUAUUUUGGUCCAUUCGUCAUCGCAGUUGUUUUAUUUCUUCUCAUAGGAACCAUGUUCCAGCAGAGAGCAGAAGAUUUUAUUCAACGCAGGAUAGAACGUCGAAGACUACUAUUCCAAGUUAAUGCUGGAGCUCUCACAGAUUUCACAACGAACACUCCUAACACAUGUGCAGUAUCCGCGUAAUAGUGAACAUUGUAAAAUUUAUUCAAAUUAAAUAUAUUUGCUGAUUUUU